UAGUGAAUUGUCUAUUUUGCAGCAAAGUGCGCAAAGGCACUAUAAACUACAAGUUUCUGUCCAUGUUGCAAUCGAGAUGAGCAUAUGAAAGAAGAGAAGGAAGAGGGACUUGAGUGUGAUGAAUAUUAAAGCUUCAAGGGCAAGAAAGAAAGAGCGGAGGGAUCAACUUGUGAAGUAGGCAGAGAAGUAGAAGGGCCGAAGUGCAAAAAUGCAGAUAUGAGGAGAGGGUCAAAAUCCCUAGCAGCAGCCCCGAUCCCCUUUCGGGCCUGGCAUCACAUCUCUCUCCCUCACCCCUCCUCCUUCACCUCCGGCCGCCGCCACGGCCAGGCCGGCGUGGUGGUGCGCCAUCCAGCCACCACUCCAUUACCGUCCCUCCAACGCCAUCCAUCACCAACGCCAACACCCACUACCAGCAUCCACCACUCACCACCAUCUCCAGCCACCGCCGCAUCUUGCACGCCCGACCAGACAAGGGCGGCACGGGCGUCUGGUCAUCCGCGUGAACGCCCCCGCGCUGCUGCUCUUUCUCUCUUCCUCCCCUGCUGCUGCUCCUCCACCUUUCUUCCUCUCCUAACCUUGUUGCUGCUCUUCUACUUCUUCUUCCCGCAUCCCCGCUGUCCUGCUCCUUCUCUGAACCUGCUGCUGCUAUCGCGCUUUGCUACUCCCCACGUCUCUACUGCUGCAUCUCUGCUCCUCUCCCUAGCGCCUCCAUACUGCUGCUACUACUCCUUUCCUUUGCUGCUGUCCCAUCUCCCCUACCCCUGCUGCUUCUCUCCUCACGCCCAUGCUGCUGCUCCAUUCCCAUUCUUGCUGCUGCUGCUCUCUCUCUCUCUCUCUCUCUCUCUCUCUCUCUCUCUCUCUCUCUCUCUCAAAUUUCUGUAAUCUUCAGAAGUGUCAUAACUAGUACUAUGUAAUGUUCAGUUUUGAUAAGUGUAGUAUCCUGCUGUUUGGUUCAGUUUCGAAUUUGUAAUAUAAAUGCUUGAUUAGUAUCCCCUGACUAGUUGAUACCUUGUUACUUUGGGAGAUACUUGAUCUAUUAUAUUUUGUUUGUAUCAAUUAGUAUUCUGCUAGUAUAUGUGUGUGUGUGUGUGUCAGUGUAAUUCAUCAAAAAUAUUGUUGUGUGAUGAUGAUAUUUGUUCAGUCCGAAUACAUGUGUGUUUCUUACUUAUUUUGUUGACCAGUGACAGUUUGUACUGUUACAUUGUGUCCCUCAUUUCGAAUGUAUGAGAUCUAGCUAUAUAUGCCAUAUAUAUUCUGUACUUGCUGAUGAUUAGUGUCCAUUUUAUUGUUCUUGUGAUAUAUACACAUAUGUGUGUGUUAUGUUCAUGUCCUUUUUACUUCUCUUGUCAUUGAUGUUAGCUUGUGUUAGUAUCUUAAUUUCUCAAGUAUUACAAAAAUACCAAAAAGAAAGUUAGUAAAAUCUGAAUCUACAUUUGCUUAUCCGCAUUUUCAUUGGUGACAAUCUUGAUAGUUUAGGUUUACUUUCUGUUCUCAUCAUCUAAAUUCUGUCACCUAGCUUUAGCCAGAGCAUAGUCGCCGUCGUCUAGUCCCUGUGGAGAACACGACAUCCGCAGUUCGGGCGAAAUAUCUCGCUGUACUUUCAAUUGAUCAUUUUGGCGCCGUUGCCGGGGACUAGCGUCGAGCGAUUGUGUGAGGUUAUAGACUAGGGUUUUCUUGUUUUUCCCGUUGUGCUAUAUAUAUGUGAUAUAUCUCUAACCCCUAAUCCUUGUUCAAGUUAUUUUCUCUUUCUUUGCUUGGUCAUUCUGCAGGUUAUUGCAUCUUCUCAGAUAUGGCUUACUAUUCAGAUCAUCAUGCUUAUGCGAGCAACACUACAAACAGCACAGAAAGUAUUCAAGACCUGAUAAGUAAGAUUUCCCAUCGAUUAGAUGAUUUAGCUCGGCAGCAAGAAGUAGUUUUUGAGGAUAGGCCUAGCUCUUAUGAUCCUUAUUCUAGAGGCCAUCCUUAUGUUGCUCCUACCUGCCAUAUUUGUGGAUUUCAGGGCCAUUCGCCCGCUGAAUGUCAGCGUGGUUACUCUCACCCUCCCGAUUGUUAUGGCAUGAGCUUCGCCCCACAGCCUAGCUCAUACCAAAAUAAUUACUCAUAUGGGUGGCCUGGAAACCAUAAUAUGUCAUAUAGGAGCAACAACCCUGAGAUCUCAUCGUUUGCCUCUAGUAAUCAUAUGCAGGGAAUUAGGUACAAUGAGGAGAGCCACAACUAUGUACCACCACAAUUUUACUCACCUCCUACUCAUAUACCUCAACACCAGGAGAUGUUGCCAAUGGAGUUAAAUGGUCCUCCAUUUGGUCAACCAACACCUUCAACACAAGUGCCUACUCAAGAUGAGUUCGAUGACAUAGACAAGCUCACACUUUUGAGUCUCGAGUUCACUUGGAGUGCCGAGGAUGAUCCUAUUAGGAAGGUUAUACUAGAGGAAAUGAAGAAGAUCAAGAGUGGGAAUGAGCUAGUGGAAGAAGUAAAGAAGAUUGAGAAGAACAUCAACGCUGCCAGUACUAUUUCUUCACAGCUUGAGCUGAGUGUUUCUGGGAUUCCUCUUGAUACAUGUGAGGUUCCAACACCUUCACAUUCAGCUGAGCAAGAUAGCGAGAGUCCAGAGGAAGAGAUACUUCAGAUCCAAGAAGAAAUACUCAAAGCCAAGGAACAAGAUGAUCUAGAGCUCAAAUGCCCAAGUGAUCAACUUGAAGAUCCAAUGUCUUUCUCCCCUGAAGAAGUAAAAGAAGCUGCUGUAGUUGAAGAUGAAGAACCAGAAAUACAUUUGCCUAUUGUCAUACAUGAGCGUGAUGUGUCAGGUUUACCCAAUCCUCUUGAUGACAUGCUCCCUUAUGAUUUCUUUGCUUCUAACUUGCAUUGCAUGAUGCCAUUACUUAAGGUAGAUUUGAAAAACUAUUUGCUUGGACAUGAUCAUACACAUCUUGUUAGUGGCAUUACUCUCAUUUGUGAUGAUCACAGUUACUUUCCUCGUGCUAGUCCUAUGCUAAAUGAAACAUAUCAUUCCCAUGCUAGUCUUGAGCUUAAUGAUAAAUAUCAUCCUCAUGUUAGUGUUGACUUUGCUGAUUUCUACCAUCCUAAACAUGUGCUUUAUAGAUAUGCUUAUGUAAUUGGAUAUUUGAUUGAUGACUUGGAGGGUAUUAUCCCUACCACCUGCAUUGUCUCUUUUGUUGAGAGUUCUUUCAGGUUUUUGCUUGUGCACGAUCCACUACAUGCUGACAAGGUUCGAGGUGACAUUCCUUGGGACCCUGGUGGACUCAGAGCAUGGUGACGAGGAGAAGCAAGGGGCACACACAAAGAAGAGUGAAGCUGGAGCAUCCAUGAUGAAGCAAAGGUGAAGAGCUGCAGUUGGUGAGAUGAUCGAGCGAGUGCUACAUCAUUUGAAGAGCCCGGUGAGCUGUCUCAUGACCCAUUUUGAAAUCAUCGUCCAUUGAUGCUUGCUGAAUUAAAUUGCUAUUUGGGUUGCUUGUGCCAUUUCUUAAAUGUUGUCCCACUGAAUUUCACCUUUGACAUAUGGUGCUUGAUGAGAAUGUGCGAACUGAUUGUUGAAUGCCUUGUAAACUAGUGAUCUACACCCUGUUUGCUUUGCUGAAAGUAGUGAAAGCUAUUAGUUUUGAGUGCUCAAAUCCCUAGUGCACUAGUAAACUUAAUCAUUUUCUGCUUUUACCUUGAUACACUUAGAUCAUUAAGUGUUAGAUGCUGAGUUUGUGCCUAUUGUGUUCCCAUUGAGAGCAAUCACUUUGCCACUAUGGACUAGUAUGCUAUGUUCCCUGGAUCGGUAGCAUGUGAACCAGACAUGGAGAAGUGAUGAUUCCUGUUUUUGUGCUUAUGCGUUGUUCAUUUAAGACAGGUAAUAAUGAAUAAAUAAGUCUGACUACCUACAGUAGCAUGUCAUGUUCCCUGGAUCGGUGGCAUGUGAAAUCGGGUUAGCUUGGGCAGUAAUUAAUAAUAAAAAAUGUAAUUGUUGAACCAGGUGUAUACCAUGUUCUUGGAUCGGUGGUAUGUUCCUUUGGGGAGACAAACAAAAAAAACUAAUAAUUGGUCGAGCCGGGUGUAUACCAUGUUCUCGGGAUCGGUGGUAUGUUCCUAUGGUGAGACUAAUAAUAAUAUAAUCAUUGCUUUAUCUCUGUAAAUAAGUGAGUUGAUCACAAGAUUAAAUUCCAGUUCAUUUUGUUCUCGGGAUCAUGCUCUCUUUAGGAACCAUUUGGCACAGUCAUCAUUUAAACUUGUUGAUCCUCUUUUAUCAUUGUAAAAGUUUAAAAUGGUCAUGCUUACUAGUAUCCUACUGCUUUGUAGCACUCUUAACCAUUGAUUUUCACUAGCAAAGUUCAAAGUAUGCUUUGUUUGGAGAUCUACUUCACUUGGCAUUCUCUAGUCAGCCCACUGUUCACAAUCUUGCUCUUGUCAUAUUCCUUUGCUUGAGGACAAGCAAAGAUUUAAGUGUGGGGGAACUUGAUAAGCACAUUUCAUAUACAUAAUUUGAUGCUCAAAUAUACCAUUAACCGAGAUAUAUCCUUCCAUUCUUGCUAAGAAUUGUUGAAUAUUCGAAUGAUAAUCAUAAAAGGGAAUGUCGACUAGUGAAUUGUCUAUUUUGCAGCAAAGUGCGCAAAGGCACUAUAAACUACAAGUUUCUGUCCAUGUUGCAAUCGAGAUGAGCAUAUGAAAGAAGAGAAGGAAGAGGGACUUGAGUGUGAUGAAUAUUAAAGCUUCAAGGGCAAGAAAGAAAGAGUGGAUGGAUCAACUUGUGAAGUAGGCAGAGAAGUAGAAGGGCCGAAGUGCAAAAAUGCAGAUCUGAGGAGAGGGUCAAAAUCCCUAGCAGCAGCCCCGAUCCCCUUUCGGGCCUGGCAUCACAUCUCUCUCCCUCACCCCUCCUUCUUCACCUCCGGCCGCCGCCACGGCCAGGCCGGCGUGGUGGUGCGCCAUCCAGCCACCACUCCAUUACCGUCCCUCCAACGCCAUCCAUCACCAACGCCAACACCCACCACCAGCAUCCACCACUCACCACCAUCUCCAGCCACCGCCGCAUCUUGCACGCCCGACCAGACAAGGGCGGCACGGGCGUCUGGUCAUCCGCGUGAACGCCCCCGCGCUGCUGCUCUUUCUCUCUUCCUCCCCUGCUGCUGCUCCUCCACCUUUCUUCCUCUCCUAACCUUGUUGCUGCUCUUCUACUUCUUCCUGCAUCCCCGCUGUCCUGCUCCUUCUCUGAACCUGCUGCUGCUAUCGCGCUUUGCUACUCCCCACGUCUCUACUGCUGCAUCUCUGCUCCUCUCCCUAGCGCCUCCAUACUGCUGCUACUACUCCUUUCCUUUGCUGCUGUCCCAUCUCCCCUACCCCUGCUGCUUCUCUCCUCACGCCCAUGCUGCUGCUCCAUUCCCAAUCUUGCUGCUGCUGCUGCUCUCUCUCUCUCUCUCUCAAAUUUCCGUAAUCUUCAGAAGUGUCAUAACUAGUACUAUGUAAUGUUCAGUUUUGAUAAGUGUAGUAUCCUGCUGUUUGGUUCAGUUUCGAAUUUGUAAUAUAAAUGCUUGAUUAGUAUGCCCUGACUAGUUGAUACCUUGUUACUUUGGGAGAUACUUGAUCUAUUAUAUUUUGGUUCUAUCAAUUAGUAUUCUGCUAGUAUAUGUGUGUGUGUGUGUGAGAGUGUAAUUCAUCAAAAAUAUUGUUGUGUGAUGAUGAUAUUUGUUCAGUCCGAAUACAUGUGUGUUUCUUACUUAUUUUGUUGACCAGUGACAGUUUGUACUGUUACAUUGUGUCCCUCAUUUCGAAUGUAUGAGAUCUAGCUAUAUAUGUCAUAUAUAUUCUGUACUUGCUGAUGAUUAGUGUCCAGUUUAUUGUUCUUGUGAUAUAUACACAUAUGUGUGUGUUAUGUUCAUGUCCUUUUUACUUCUCUUGUCAUUGAUGUUAGCUUGUGUUAGUAUCUUAAUUUCUCAAGUAUUACAAAAAUACCAAAAAGAAAGUUAGUAAAAUCUGAAUCUACAUUUGCUUAUCCGCAAUUUCAUUGGUGACAAUCUUGAUAGUUUAGGUUUACUUUCUGUUCUCAUCAUCUAAAUUCUGUCACCUAGCUUUAGCCAGAGCAUAGUCGCCGUCGUCUAGUCCCUGUGGAGAACACGACAUCCGUAGUU
rnacentral:lncRNA from 1 species